rnacentral:lncRNA from 1 species
AACGUGAAAGCACCGAAAAAUUGCCCAAUCAGAAUUCUUUGAAUUGCCUGUCCUAUGCAAAAGACAUCAUUUCCCAUUUUACGAUAUCAAUUCUCAGGAAAGCUGGUUCUUCAAAAAACUGUUCAUCUGCUCUGUGAAACUUUCCUUUCUUCUUUCCUUCUCUCCGACCAAUUUCAGUCUGGUUUUUGCAUCCAGUCAACAUUCUUUUGUUUUCGACAUACCCAGGGAUGUUCUUUAGCAGGUAAAACUCCUCACUUUUUUUUCAAAGAUUCUAUUGCUAGUAUAUGGGCUAAACCAUUUGCUGAUUUCGGAGUAUAUUUAAACACAAUAUUAUUGAAUCCAACUGUUAUCUGUUGAAUAUCAUGUAUAUACGCUCCUGUGAUCUAUCUUAACUUUUUAAUUGACACUUUUUUAUGAUGGCUAAUGAGUCUCCUUCAAUAAUUUUCCCCUUUCUAUGUUAGAUAUGGUCUUUAUAUAAACAAUCAAGUAUAUUCUUUUAUAAUUAAUUACCAUCUUAAUUUUUUUUUCUUUUUAUUUCUGCAUGGUUUCUUACCAUAAAAGUUAGACUUGAGACUAUUAAUUUUUUCUAUUAACUUUUUUUUCCAAUAAUUUCUUGAUUUGUAUAUCAAAUUCAUCUAUAUCUUAUUUAGUAUAGAUCAUGGGUUUAAUUCUAAUAAUUUUAUUAGGAUUUUUUAAUUUUAUUUCACAAUAUCUUGGACUAUUUUAUCAUAAUUUUAAUGGUUCUUCACUAAAACUAUUUUUUAGAAUUUUAAACAACCAAUGAUUUAUUUCUAGUUGUUUAAUUUGUUCUUUUCUUAUUGGUCUAAAUCCUUUAUCACAUAUAAAUUUAUGGUUUUCGAUUAAAGGUAUUUCUACAAAAGUUUUUUCUGUUGACAGUAUUACUAAAUUUUUAUCUAUAGAAAACGGUAAAUGAUGAUAUAUAAAAUUAUUUCCUAAUAAUAUGUCUCCAUGCAUUUCAGGAAAACACAAUAUUUUAGGAAUUACAAAUCUUACAUUAUUUAUAUAAAUUGGAUUAUAGUUUCUUUACCACCUAUUCCUAUGGCUCUAAUUGGUUUUUCAUUAAUUCUCAUUUUUCUACAGUAAUGGCAUUCUCUCUACAGCUACUUGUGGUAGCUCCAGUAUCUAAUAAGGCAUGUAAAGAAUAUGUUUUAUAUUCUCUAAAUUGAAAUGUAAUUUCUAUAUAUGUAUAAUAUUUCCUAGGUUAGAAAUUUGAAAAUGUAAUAAUAUCAUUUUUUUCCAUUUUCAUUUGUUGAAUAAUAGUAGCAGCUUGUAUUUUUUCCAUUCUAGUAUUUCUAGAAUUUCUAUUAGAUUUAGUGGGGAAAAUAGGUAUUUGAACUGUUUUCAUAUCUAUUGGGGUUGUCGAAUUUGUACUAAUAUUAUCUUCUUCUUCCUUUAUUUGAGAAUUACAAGGAAAAAUUAAAUUAUCAUUUGUAUUUGUUAUAGCAUUAUUUUUAAAGUAUAGUCUAUCUCCAGAUGACAUAUUUUCUAUAGUACUUACUGGUUUUGAAGUA